AUUGAACGCUGGCGGCAGGCCUAACACAUGCAAGUCGAGCGAGCGGCGGACGGGUGAGUAAUGUCUGGGAAACUGCCUGUUGGAGGGGGAUAACUACUGGAAACGGUAGCUAAUACCGCAUACCAUCAGAUGUGCCCAGAUGGGAUUAGCUAGUAGGUGGGGGAACGGCUCACCUAGGCGGCGAUCCCUAGCUGGUCUGAGAGGAUGACCAGCCACACGGGAACUGGGACACGGUCCAGACUCCUACGGGAGGCAGCAGUGGGGAAUAUUGCACAAUGGGCGAAAGCCUGAAGCAGCCAUGCGGCGGGUGUGAAGAAGGCCUUAGGGUUGUAAAGUACUUUCAGCGGGGAGGCGUUACCCGCAGAAGAAGCACCGGCUAACUCCGUGCCAGCAGCCGCGGUAAUAC
rnacentral:rRNA from 1 species